rnacentral:rRNA from 1 species
UGGGGAAUAUUGCGCAAUGGGCGAAAGCCUGACGCAGCCACGCCGCGUGAGUGAUGAAGGCCUUCGGGUUGUAAAGCUCUGUCGGGAGGGACGAAGGGGAAACCCUGACGGUACCUCGCAAGAAAGCACCGGCUAACUCUGUGCCAGCAGCCGCGGUAAUACAGAGGGUGCAAGCGUUGCUCGGAUUUACUGGGCGUAAAGCGUACGCAGACGGUGAGGAAGGUCGGAUGUGAAAGCCCCGGGCUCAACCCGGGAACUGCAUCCGAAACCGCCUCGCUCGAGUAUGGGAGAGGGAAGCGGAAUUCCUGGUGUAGAGGUGAAAUUCGUAGAUAUCAGGAGGAACACCGGCGGCGAAGGCGGCUUCCUGGCCCAUUACUGACGUUCAGGUACGAAAGCGUGGGUAGCAAACAGGAUUAGAUACCCUGGUAGUCCACGCCGUAAACGAUGUGUGCUGGAUGUCGGGGUAUUCACCCCCUCGGUAUCGAAGCCAACGCGAUAAGCACACCGCCU